rnacentral:lncRNA from 1 species
CGGGGUCUCCUGGGUGGGAGAGGGGGGGCUGGGGGCGAUCGUGCCGGGCAACAAAGCUCCGCUGAUCUCAUCUGCUGCCUACGCAAAAUCUUGUUCUCGUUCCCCAAGGAUCCAGGAUUAGAGCAGAAUCAUCGCAGAUCUCGCUCCCGCCCAGACGACCAUGGGUACACGGGUAGUCGCCGUUGCCAUCAUCACUCUGCUCAUCACUGGAUCUACAAUUGGAGGAGCAGCAGCAAAGGAUCGCAAAUCUGAGAGUGAGUGGGGAGGGCAGGGGGCCUGGGCUGUGCUGGGUGGAAGACGGGGUUGUAGCCUGGGCUUACUCUGAAGCCAAAGCAGCCCUUGAGCCCCUCACUGGUCUGAAUGUGCCCAAACUGAGGGAACGGGAUCCAUUCCAAUGUGGUGGGGAGAGCGACUCUUGGGGUAGGGGUUGGGGCUGAGGCCAUCAGGGGCUGUUCAGGGAGGUGAGUGCUCUGUGGCAAGAACUGCUGUGUCCAAUGGCAGCACUGGCCAGAGGUGGAAAUGGAGAGCAGGAAGGGGCUGGAUGUGCUGAUGGAGCAGAGCUGACUGCAGGCCAACUCUCUGGCACAGACUGAGGAGACCCUCAGUGGGGUGCAGCCUUCCAGGUGCUACCACAGCCCAAACCAAUGAGCCUCGAUUGCAUCCUGGAGCAUCCCAUCACCCACAAAGGGCAGCCACCCCCAAAACACCAUCCUGAGCAUCCUCCACAAAUGAAGGGCGCUGGGUCUGACACAUGCAUGGAUUGGCCAUGGGUGUGAACACGAGGAGCUCCGUGCUCAGUGGUGGCUGUGAGCGCAGGGGCCAUCUAAGCAGUACAGGACACAGACUGGGCUGACACGUGCCCUGUGUCCUGUGCUGUUCAAGGUAGGUGGGUGUG